GCCUGGGUUCGUAUUAUCGGAUUCGACAACGUUCGUCAAGUCCAGUGCAUCAGCUUCAUUGCCUACAAGCCAGAAGGAUUCUAAAUUUCCAAACAUAUAAUCAAAAUGUUUGUUUGAUUUGUACCUAAGUCUUUAAUUUUUUUUCUUCAAUUUUUGUUUUGCAUUUUGUUCCUAUUUGUACCGGUGUAUUUUCUUCGAUUCCGACCAAGUUAUGAGAAAUUAAUAAUGAUGAAUCGGUGGUUAUAUGUUUAAUCAUGUGUUCUUUUUUUAAAAAAUUUGUGUGGUGUGAAUGAGUUUUAUUAUCCA
rnacentral:lncRNA from 1 species